GCCAGACUCCUACGGGAGGCAGCAGUGGGGGAUAUUGCACAAUGGGGGAAACCCUGAUGCAGCGACGCCGCGUGGGUGAAGAAGCGCCUCGGCGCGUAAAGCCCUGUCAGCAGGGAAGAAAAUGACGGUACCUGAAGAAGAAGCCCCGGCUAACUACGUGCCAGCAGCCGCGGUAAUACGUAGGGGGCGAGCGUUAUCCGGAUUCACUGGGUGUAAAGGGAGCGUAGACGGCCGUGCAAGCCAGGAGUGAAAGCCCGGGGCCCAACCCCGGGACUGCUCUUGGAACUGUGCGGCUGGAGUGCGGGAGGGGCAGGCGGAAUUCCUAGUGUAGCGGUGAAAUGCGUAGAUAUUAGGAAGAACACCAGUGGCGAAGGCGGCUUGCUGGACAGUAACUGACGUUGAGGCUCGAAAGCGUGGGGAGCAAACAGGAUUAGAUACCCUAGUAC
rnacentral:rRNA from 1 species